AUGAACGCUAGCUACAGGCUUAACACAUGCAAGUCGAGGGGCAGCAUGGUCUUAGCUUGCUAAGGCCGAUGGCGACCGGCGCACGGGUGAGUAACACGUAUCCAACCUGCCGUCUACUCUUGGACAGCCUUCUGAAAGGAAGAUUAAUACAAGAUGGCAUCAUGAGUCUGCAUGUUCACAUGAUUAAAGGUAUUCCGGUAGACGAUGGGGAUGCGUUCCAUUAGAUAGUAGGCGGGGUAACGGCCCACCUAGUCUUCGAUGGAUAGGGGUUCUGAGAGGAAGGUCCCCCACAUUGGAACUGAGACACGGUCCAAACUCCUACGGGAGGCAGCAGUGAGGAAUAUUGGUCAAUGGGCGCAGGCCUGAACCAGCCAAGUAGCGUGAAGGAUGACUGCCCUAUGGGUUGUAAACUUCUUUUAUAAAGGAAUAAAGUCGGGUAUGUAUACCCGUUUGCAUGUACUUUAUGAAUAAGGAUCGGCUAACUCCGUG
rnacentral:rRNA from 1 species